GGGUCUGGUCUUCCAAACACAGGCUACGCUCUUCGUGCGGUUACGCUCCAGGAGCAGAAUGCCUCGCAUACGUACAAAGUUGUGUUUGUUUUCACUGGGAUCUGCCGCUAAACCCACUGGGUGGUUCCCAGGUCCAUCGUUCUAUCCGGAGGUGGGUGGCACGCACCAACAUGCAGCGGCCAUUCGGUGAAACCCAGGUGCCUUGCACACACGCAGGGUUAUAAAUAAAAAAGCAGGGCCUCGGUCGAAGAGGCUUAUGUGUGCGUGCGGCGAUUUCCACAAUGGGCGUCGCUGGUGUGACAGCGGAGCGUUACAUACUUAACAAGUUAACGUCGUGAACAAUCUGUAACAAGUUAACAUCGUGAACAAUCUGUUACAAGAUACAUAGCAAUUUGGAACACUUUAACCACCUUUAAUGAAAAACCUGAGAGAAACACCACUCACUUGGUGGAGCCUGCUGCAAUCUGUCCAGAAUCAGAGCACCGGGAUAAGGUUUGUGUGAUGAAGCUGGCACACGUGCCAAGCCCCCAGGUCAAACAAAUCCUGGGGAUUUGAUAUGCAUAACUCAGAAGAGGAUUGAGCCCAUGUGACACCAGCAACUGCUUCAGACCCUUGCACGAGAUGCAUAUUGGAUUUGCUUUUAUCCCUUCGAAACAGCAACAGGAAGCAAUCUCUGAGGCGCAUAGUGAAGCGUUAGUGUGCUGUUCUUGAUUGAAGACUUCAUUACAGACUUACAAAAAUGCAUUAUUAUCCUAAGCCUACUGCAUAGUUCAGAAAUCAGGGAAGAAUUGCUAAUGUGCCACAAAUUUGACACAAAAUUGAUCUCUCAGCUGUUUACUGAACAAGGGAAAUACUGCCCACCAGCAAAGUCCUCAUGCAUCACUACUGUUCAAGACAGUCAAAAUGACACAAGAUGCUGAAGAGAUGCUGAAGAGAUGCUGAAUAUUCAAAUAUUCUUUGCCCCAGACAUAAACAGUCUGAGACAGAAAUGUGAAAAAAAAAAAAAAUUCCCUGCACCAGCAUCUGCCCUUGACCCACCUCAUAUCCUGUGUUGUCAAAGAAAGGAGAUUUAAGGAGAGGAAGCAAAUGUGAUCAGACCUAUCCAGCAAGGAACAAAGAAACAGUCCAGACUCUUUAGUACAGAAAGAGACACCUGGCAAGACCCAGGAGACUCCUGUGCAACCUCAGGGUCCUGAGGAAGGUUACAGGGGGGCUGUUCAGUGCUGCUACCCAGGCCAGACCUGGAAGGUGCCAGCUUAAAAAAACAGCUCCAGCAUCAAACAAGAAACUCACAGCAUUGUAAUCUUUCUCUCUGAAGAAACUGCGAGCAACCGUCAGUGACAAGGAAUUCCAUGAGAACAGAAGAAUAGAUCUGAGAUUCACAUUGCCUCCCCUGCACCACCUUUAGAAGCAGUUUUACAUAUACAUAUAUGAUUGUGCUCUUGUGUGCUCUUGCAUCUUGUGGGGACUCAUGGGGUUCAGAUUCAAAAUAGAAAUUAAUUCUUCCCUGUGUGGGUGGUGAGGCCCUGGCACAGGGUGGCCAAAAAAGCUGUGGCUGCCCCAUCCCUGAAGAGUCCAAGGCCAGGUUGGACAGGGCUUGGAACACCCUGGAAUAGUGGAACAUAUCCCUGCCCAUGGCAGGGGGUAUUACAAGAUGAUCUUAAGGUCCCUUCCAAUCCAAAUGAUACUGUGAUUCUGUGAUUUAGCAAAAACCCUCAUUUGAUCACAACAAGGCAUUGAUAUGGUGGCACUAGUUCUCCUAAACUCUCAGUCAAUGAACCCUGUGUAACCCAUCAUAGCCAACACAGGCUGGAGAAUGAGGAAACCAAAUGAGCACACUGAAAUCUAGCCUUUUAAAAAGAGAGUAAGGUGAAUAAUGAAUAGUCCAUCUGAAUGGAUCAGUCCCAUUUGCCUCUGUGAAAACCUGGCCCCAGUUCCCUGGUGCUGAUGGUCUGCAGCAGGCACAGCAGGUCAGGACCAUCCAUUUCACAUUUUCCUGUUUCUCAGCAGAUCUGUCCAUGCCAACUUUGCCCCUGAUGGACCCUGGUCACAAUAUCCCUGAUCCUUUAGAUACCCAUGAGCAAUCUGAGGCCAGCAAUAGUAAAAGGUCACAUAUCAUUUAGCAAAAACACAACUUCUGCCCUGAUGAUUUUACAUUCCCUCUUAAUAAUUUUGAGUGGAGACAUUGAUUUCAAAUAAAACCUCUUCACUGACUGGCUUGAUUUCCUGUAGUCUUGGUGUUGACAGUGAGUCUUGUCCAAACUCCAAAGAUCACAGCAGUAGAACUCAGGUAUUGCUUGUACAGUACCAAAGGCUCAAAUGUAGGUGGAGAAGAUGUAGGUUGAUCAAAUGCAUCCAGACAAUUUCUGUAAUGCUGUGUCUGAGUCGUAGUUCUGUGUUGUUCCUUAUCCUGAUCACCACACUUGCUCACCACCUGCAAAAUGAGCCACCCCCCAACAUGCAUCCCACCUCUAGGUAGGAAAUAAAUAAUUGGAGACUGGCCUCAUCUGUCUGCUCUGUCACUGCCUUUUUCCCUUGCCUUUGCCAGUUCUUUGUAUUUUUGCCUUUGCCAGCUCUUCCUUCUGA